rnacentral:rRNA from 1 species
AGCAGCCGCGGUAAUUCCAGCUCCAAUAGCGUAUAUUAAAGUUGUUGCAGUUAAAAGCUCGUAGUUGAAUUUCGGGAUCAGUUGGUCGGUCGUGCCUCGGUACGUACUGGUCAAAUUGAUUCCUACCUUCUGACGAACCACGAUGUCAUUAAUUUGGUGUCGCGGGAAAUCAGGACUGUUACUUUGAAAAAUUAGAGUGUUUGAAGCAGGCUCGCGCUUGAAUACAUUAGCAUGGAAUAAUGAAAUAGGACGUUUGAUUCUAUUUUGUUGGUUUCUAGGAUCGACGUAAUGAUUAAUAGGGAUAGUUGGGGGCAUUAGUAUUCAAUUGUCAGAGGUGAAAUUCUUGGAUUUAUUGAAGACUAACUACUGCGAAAGCAUUUGCCAAGGAUUGU